rnacentral:rRNA from 1 species
ACUCCUACGGGAGGCAGCAGUGGGGAAUCUUGCGCAAUGGGCGAAAGCCUGACGCAGCCAUGCCGCGUGAAUGAUGAAGGUCUUAGGAUUGUAAAAUUCUUUCACCGGGGACGAUAAUGACGGUACCCGGAGAAGAAGCCCCGGCUAACUUCGUGCCAGCAGCCGCGGUAAUACGAAGGGGGCUAGCGUUGCUCGGAAUUACUGGGCGUAAAGGGAGCGUAGGCGGACAUUUAAGUCAGGGGUGAAAUCCCGGGGCUCAACCUCGGAAUUGCCUUUGAUACUGGGUGUCUUGAGUAUGAGAGAGGUGUGUGGAACUUCGAGUGUAGAGGUGAAAUUCGUAGAUAUUCGGAAGAACACCAGUGGCGAAGGCGACACACUGGCUCAUUACUGACGCUGAGGCUCGAAAGCGUGGGGAGCAAACAGGAUUAGAAACCCCAGUAGUCCCA